rnacentral:lncRNA from 1 species
GCUAAACGUAUAAUCUGUCUGGAGCAUGAGCAAACUUAUGUUUAUAUAAGAACAUAUUAUUUUAAUCUAGUAUGCUUUACCUUAAACUUUAAUUAUGUUACUAUGUCUUGUCUUAUAAUGGGGUUUUAAUACAAGUGUGAGGUGUCUAUUUACUGUUUAAGUGUUUAACGGAACCGAUUAAUCUCCGGUGAAGACGUUGGUCAGCCUGAAAGUAGGUCGUAAAGCUUAGGAGAAGCGCGUUAGACCUUGUUGGUGGUCCCGUCACUGCGAAAACACUUAGCUGUCUAUAGAGUAAUGCCAUUAAAACUUGUUAGGAUUCCAUAAGCCAUAGAUGUAUCUACAUAAUUAGUUUUCGUUAUUUCAUACUUGUUUACUUUAAUAUGUUUGCUAGUAUAAACAUACAUAUUUGCUCUGUUAGCCUCUAGAC